GACCAGGGAUGGGAAUCGAACCCACAGUGUUCCGCUUACCGGGCAGAUGCCAUGUCCACUAGGCUACCCUGGA